rnacentral:rRNA from 1 species
AUUGAACGCUGGCGGCAGGCCUAACACAUGCCAGUCGAACGGUAACAGGAAGAAGCUUGCUUCUUUGCUGACGAGUGGCGGACGGGUGAGUAAUGUCUGGGAAACUGCCUGAUGGAGGGGGAUAACUACUGGAAACGGUAGCUAAUACCGCAUAACGUCGCAAGACCAAAGAGGGGGACCUUCGGGCCUCUUGCCAUCGGAUGUGCCCAGAUGGGAUUAGCUAGUAGGUGGGGUAACGGCUCACCUAGGCGACGAUCCCUAGCUGGUCUGAGAGGAUGACCAGCCACACUGGAACUGAGACACGGUCCAGACUCCUACGGGAGGCAGCAGUGGGGAAUAUUGCACAAUGGGCGCAAGCCUGAUGCAGCCAUGCCGCGUGUAUGAAGAAGGCCUUCGGGUUGUAAAGUACUUUCAGCGGGGAGGAAGGGAGUAAAGUUAAUACCUUUGCUCAUUGACGUUACUCGCAGAAGAAGCACCGGCUAACUCCGUG